GGUAGGUGCAGAGUUAUUCUUUUAUCAUUCUUCUUUUGACAGCAUAUAUAACUAUCCAUAUACACUCCUGUGGAAGUGUGAUAUAUUUCACAAUAAGAAAGUUUAACAAUAAAAAGUCCAGUUUGGUCUCAGCAAAAGGAGCAAUGUCUUCUCAGCCAGCCUGAAUGGUGGCAAGGCAAUCCACUGCAAACGGAACUUCGGGUCUAGCGGCCCUUCCUCACCAGGAAAUUCACCAUGGUUCCAGACUUGGGAUUUCCAGAUUUUAUUUCCUUAUAGAUAAUCCUUACAUUUUCUUACAGUUGCUCUCUGGAAUUUUAUGUUUUGAGGAACCAAGGAUUGUGAGUUUUGAAAAAACAAAUACAAAGAGCAGAGUUCAGAUACUUCAGAUUUUAGCAAUAGCUAAUAAUAGUAAUACUUAUUAAGCAAUAAUUAUGAGUUAUGCUAAAAUGUUUUAUUUAUUUAUUUUUAAAGAUUUUAUUUAUUCAUUGACAGAGAGAGAGAGCACAAGCAGGGGGUACAGCAGACAGAGGGAGAGGGAGAAGCAGGCUCCCCGCUGACCAGGAAGCCUGACCAGGGGGAUUCACUUCCAGGACUGAGCCCCCCAGGCGCCCCUACUACAAUGUUUUACAUGCUUAUGUAUUUUAAUCUUUGCAACUAGUGUAUGAACUAGGUCUGCUAAUAGAUGAAAUUGAGGCUUAGGAAAUUUAAGUAACUUUUCCCAAAAUACAGGAAGUAUAUGGUAGAGGCUACAUCAAAUGUAGGUCUGUCUGUGUGAUCAUGGAGCCCAAAUUUAUCAUCAUACUAUGUAGAGUAGUCCUUAAAGAUACAAUAUUUUAAUGAUAAAUGGACUGAGACUGGGGCACCUGGCUGGCUCAGUUGGUAGAGCAUACGACUCUCGAUUUCAGAAUCAUGAGUUCAAGCCUCAUGUGGCUGUAGAGCCUACUUAAAAAAAAAAAAUGAAGAAAAAAAUUGACUGAGAUUGAGAGAAAUUUUACAUCUAAUGAAUCUUUAGCUUUUCUUUUUUUUAGAGAGGGCAGGAAGGGGCAGAGGGAGAGACAGAAUCUUAAGUAGGCUCAAUGCCCAGCACGGGGCCCAAUGUGGUUCUCGAUCUCGCAAUCCUGAGAUCAUGACCUGAGAUACAAUCAAGAGUCCGACACUUAACUGACCAACACUCAGGUGCCCAGAAACUUUAGUUUCAGGCCCCAAUUGCUUGCUUAAGUCCUUUUCAAGUCCCCUGGAAGGGCCCUCGCAACAUGCCUUAUAUGGCCUCCUGAUUUUGUAAAAUGUGAAGGCAUAAAUUAAAUUUUAUAUUCAUUUUCUUAAAGUAGGCUCCCCAAAUUGUGCAAGCUUAUGGCCUCACAAAACCUGAUCAUUCCCUGGCUGUUCCAGUCUUAUAGGAAUAAGCAAUCUGUCAGCUAGAACCAUCCUAACUCAUCCAGUUGUUACUCAUUCAAGGGUUUUUGCAUAGGUGUCCUGGCCAUUUGGAACUUAUAUUCCUAUCCUAUGAACACACUUGCGUGAUCACCUCCAUAACUCACUAGAAAAUGACUCUUUAAAGGCAGAUAACAUAGUUUUUUUUAGCCUGUAUUACCCUGACAUUGAACACACUAAGUCCUUAAUAAAUAUUUGUUAAAUGAAUAAAUGAACAUGAGAUUUGUAAAGCAUGAAAAUCCAUUUCCUUCCCAUAGUACUAAUGACUAAAAAUCCAUACGUAGAGGGUUUGGCUUUCUGUAGAGCAGUAAGAUUCUGGAGCUGUCUUCAUUUAGCAGAUCAGAAGUUGCAGAUUUGAAUUUAAGAAGGUCUGUUUCUGAUGGCAGGACUGGAAGUAGCGAGCGGAGUAGGAGAGGUUCUGGGAGAACCUGAGUUCAUACUUGGAUAUAUAAACAUAGAAGAGAUUGGGUUGACCCAAUGCUUCUUCAACACUCUGGUUACUCUACCAUAGAUUUGGGGUUUCACAUUAGUACGAGGCUAAACUACAUUCUCCAUGGAGUUGUCUUACACCUGUCCCCUGUACAGUGGGAUGGUAUGGGGGUGUUUUAUGUAAGAAAGAGCCUGGCACAGAGGAAUCAGGAAUUAAUACCUGUCCCUCAUCUGAAAACAUCUAAGUGGGAAGACGCAUGGCAAAGGGAACUAUGAUAGCAGAGUGACUAGAGUUGCUGUGAUGGUUGAUCUUAGGCCACAGGAUCCCCAGACAUCUGGUCACAUAUUAUUCUGGGUAUGUCUAUGAGGGUGUUUCUGGGUGAGAUUAACAUUUCCUGUUUUUUUUUUUUUUUUUUUUUUUUAAAUAAUCUGCACGCUCAACCUGGAGCUCAAAGUCACAACCCCAAGAUCAAGAGUUGUAUGUUCCACCAACUGAGCCAGAUAGGCACCCCAAGAUUAACACUUCUAACUGGAGACAGGAAAGCAGAGUCUUCUCUGAAGUGGGUGGGCUCCAAUCAGUCAGCUGAGGGCCUGAAAAGAGCAAAAAAAGGCUGGCCCUCCCCCAGUUAAGGGGGAAUUUCUCUUGCUGACUGCCUUUGAGCUGGGAAUUUUGCUUUUUACUGACUUAAGACUCAGGAUUGAAACACUGAAUUGGAACACUAAUUCUUCCUGGGUUUCCAGCCGACUGACCUUCAGAAUAGAGCUACACCAUCAGCUCUCCUGAGCCUCCAGCUUGUUGACUGCAAAUCUUGGAAUUUGUCAGCCUGUGUAAUCAUGUGAACCAAUUCCUCAUAAUAGAUUUCAUUAUGUAUCUAUGUCUGUCUUGAAAUCUCUGUAUCCUAUAAGUUCUGUUCCUCUGGAGAACCCUGAUUAAUAGAGCUGGAAAUAAGGGUCUGAAGGGGCAAACAUACAAGUUUCCUAUGGUCUGUGUGUGGAUUACAUAAAAAAGGACUGGGUUUUGGUCAUCUUAAAAGAAGCUCCACCAAAACAGUCUUUCUAAAGGGUGGUGGUGGACCAUCUAAAGCUUCAAGCUGAGAUGCAAUAUCUGGAGUGGCAAGUGGUGGAGAAAGCCAUAGUCAACCUAAAAUCAUAUUUUAUGAAAGGAAACUGGAGUUUAGGGAUCCUCGGAUGUGGGAACUCAAAGAGUCUACUGCACCAGCUGGAGAACAGUACUUGUGUCCUCUAAUCUACCUCCUCCACUGAUAGGAUCAUAGAAUAGCCACAAGAAGCACUUAGAAAGUAUAGAAAGAGAUAGAUCUAGAAAGAAAGAAUAUCCCUCUGUCUCCUCCCUGCCUCCCUGCCACACAAACCUACCCUGGCCUUUCCCAUUUGGGGCUUGCAAGCUUGAAUCAGGCCGGAGGAUGAAGAAAGUGGGGGGCAGGGGUCAGGAAGAGAAACUUCAAAUCAAAUGAGAGUAUAAAGUUUUAACAUUAGAUAAUCCUGAGUCUUAUUUAUUUAUUUAUUUAUUUAUUUGUAAAAGAUUUUAUUUAUCUAUUCAUGAGAGACACAGAGAGAGAGGCAGAGACACAGGCGAAGGGAAAAGCCGGCUCCCUGUGUGGGGAGCCUGAUGAGGGACUUGGUCCCGGGAGGCAGACGUGUAACCACUGAGCCACCCAGGUGCCCCAAUCCUGAGCUUUUUAAUACCUGAAUAUGACCAGAAAAACUAGGACCCCUGCCUGAGAUGGAGGAGAAUCAUUUGACGGAGGAAGUUUGAAAGAGCGGUGGAGAUAGAGUUGUUUUCUUUUGCUCUUUGCUCUUGACUGAGUUUAGCGUAUUUGAUUGACCAGUUGUACGAGGUUAGCAAAGAAAGAAAUUUUUGGUGUGCCGAUUUGUAAAACUUCCUGUGACUACCAUUACUAUUUUAUUUCAAAAAGUCUAGUGGAGCCCUAAGAGUGCCCUUGAUUUAAGCCCCAGGAGAUUUGCUUUCCCUUUUUCUUUCCCGCCAAAGGCCAACAAACUCAUUUCCUGAACCAAUUGGAUGAUUCAAAAUUUCUCAUCUCCAAAGUAUAGCCUUAAAAUCCUUUAAGCAGAAAUUGAAUAUUGUAGCUUUAUAUGUAUCAUUGUAAUAAUAUAAGCAUCAAAAUGACACCAAGACUUAAUGAGCCAACAAGGUCUGUGAUUAAUUCAGGAAGGUAGGAGUCUGUUGAAGAGGAGGGGGCGGUUCCUGCCAGGAAUCUUAAAUGCUUUUUGUCAAGGGAAGAUACAUCCUCAUGAGGUGCAGAUCAUGUAGCUGCAGGGCUAUGGCUUUCAAACACUGCCCCUAUUUCCAGGAAACAAUACAUUUGCCUUGGGUAUUCAUAACAACCUCUCAGUGUUUAGCAACUCGCUGCUUUUUGCCAGGCAGCAAAGUUCUCUGCUAAAAUGUUGUCAGAUCAUCAACCCACAAGCUCUAAACCACCAACCCACUAGCUUUGUUCUUCACUAAUUUUCUUUUAAUGCCUGUUUGUUUGUCCGGGAGGUAGGGGAACAGGGAGCUAUUUUGAUGAUUUAUGGCAUUUGCUUGAUCUCCAAGAUUUGAUUUGUUUAAACAUGGAGUCUGGUAUUCAGAAGGCACUUGAGAAGUUUGCAAAUAAAUGAAUAUCUUUCACUGAAA